UCCGACUUACGCCGGCAGUCACCUGUGAGUCCCCGCCUUUACGCGCUGGUAACACAGGUCAAGGGUUGCGCUCGUUGCGGGACUUAACCCAACAUCUCACGACACGAGCUGACGACAACCAUGCACCACCUGUCUCCCCUGCCCCGAAGGGAGGCGCUAUCUCUAGCGCUGUCAGGGGGAUGUCAAGCCCUGGUAAGGUUCUUCGCGUUGCUUCGAAUUAAACCACAUGCUCCACUGCUUGUGCGGGCCCCCGUCAAUUCCUUUGAGUUUCAGUCUUGCGACCGUACUCCCCAGGCGGAGUGCUUAUUGGGUUUCCUUCGGCACUGAAGGGUAACCCCCCCAACACCUAGCACUCAUCGUUUACGGCGUGGACUAC
rnacentral:misc_RNA from 1 species